rnacentral:rRNA from 1 species
AUUGAACGCUGGCGGCAGGCUUAACACAUGCAAGUCGAGCGGAGCGAGGGUGCUUGCACCUUAGCUUAGCGGCGGACGGGUGAGUAAUGCUUAGGAAUCUGCCUAUUAGUGGGGGACAACAUUCCGAAAGGGAUGCUAAUACCGCAUACGCCCUACGGGGGAAAGCAGGGGAUCUUCGGACCUUGCGCUAAUAGAUGAGCCUAAGUCGGAUUAGCUAGUUGGUGGGGUAAAGGCCUACCAAGGCGACGAUCGGUAGCGGGUCUGAGCGGAUGAUCCGCCACACUGGGACUGAGACACGGCCCAGACUCCUACGGGAGGCAGCAGUGGGGAAUAUUGGACAAUGGGCGGAAGCCUGAUCCAGCCAUGCCGCGUGUGUGAAGAAGGCCUUUUGGUUGUAAAGCACUUUAAGCGAGGAGGAGGCUACUAGUAUUAAUACUACUGGAUAGUGGACGUUACUCGCAGAAUAAGCACCGGCUGACUCUGUGCCAGCCGCCGCCGUAAGAC